rnacentral:rRNA from 1 species
UUAAGGCUGAGACACGACGUCGAGCUACUACGGUAGUGAAGUCAUUGAUGCCAUGCUUCCAGGAAAAGCCUCUAAGCUUCAGAUUGUAAGGAAUCGUACCCCAAACCGACACAGGUGGUCGGGUAGAGAAUACCAAGGCGCUUGAGAGAACUCGGGUGAAGGAACUAGGCAAAAUGGUACCGUAACUUCGGGAGAAGGUACGCUCUUGAUGGUGAAGUCCCUUGCGGAUGGAGCUGACGAGAGUCGCAGAUACCAGGUGGCUGCAACUGUUUAUUAAAAACACAGCACUGUGCAAAAUCGUAAGAUGACGUAUACGGUGUGACGCCUGCCCGGUGCCGGAAGGUUAAUUGAUGGGGUUAGCGUAAGCGAAGCUCUUGAUCGAAGCCCCGGUAAACGGCGGCCGUAACUAUAACGGUCCUAAGGUAGCGAAAUUCCUUGUCGGGUAAGUUCCGACCUGCACGAAUGGCGUAAUGAUGGCCACGCUGUCUCCACCCGAGACUCAGUGAAAUUGAAAUCGCUGUGAAGAUGCAGUGUACCCGCGGCUAGACGGAAAGACCCCGUGAACCUUUACUACAGCUUGGCACUGAACAUUGAACCUACAUGUGUAGGAUAGGUGGGAGGCUUUGAAGACGUGACGCCAGUUGCGUUGGAGCCGUCCUUGAAAUACCACCCUUGUAUGUUUGAUGUUCUAACGUUGGCCCCUAAUCGGGGUUGCGGACAGUGCCUGGUGGGUAGUUUGACUGGGGCGGUCUCCUCCCAAAGAGUAACGGAGGAGCACGAAGGUGGGCUAAUCACGGUUGGACAUCGUGAGGUUAGUGCAAUGGCAUAAGCCCGCUUAACUGCGAGAAUGACGGUUCGAGCAGGUGCGAAAGCAGGUCAUAGUGAUCCGGUGGUUCUGAAUGGAAGGGCCAUCGCUCAACGGAUAAAAGGUACUCCGGGGAUAACAGGCUGAUACCGCCCAAGAGUUCAUAUCGACGGCGGUGUUUGGCACCUCGAUGUCGGCUCAUCACAUCCUGGGGCUGAAGUCGGUCCCAAGGGUAUGGCUGUUCGCCAUUUAAAGUGGUACGCGAGCUGGGUUUAGAACGUCGUGAGACAGUUCGGUCCCUAUCUGCCGUGGGCGUUGGAAGAUUGAAGGGGGCUGCUCCUAGUACGAGAGGACCGGAGUGGACGAACCUCUGGUGUUCGGGUUGUGUCGCCAGACGCAUUGCCCGGUAGCUAAGUUCGGAAUCGAUAACCGCUGAAAGCAUCUAAGCGGGAAGCGAGCCCUGAGAUGAGUCUUCCCUGAUACUUUAAGUAUCCUAAAGGGUUGUUCGAGACUAGAACGUUGAUAGGCAGGGUGUGUAAGCGCUGUGAGGCGUUGAGCUAACCUGUACUAAUUGCCCGUGAGGCUUAACCAUACAACACCCAAAGGGUUUUG